UAGCUACAUUGAAAAAUCUCCUUCUGCUCCUUAUUGUUACUUGUUUGCUUAACUUAUCAUUUGUUUGUUUUUUUGGAAGGUGAGGAAACUUGGGUUAUUACAGCUGUCAAGGCUGAGGCUCUGGCCCCAAUGACUCCAGGAACAACACUACUGAAAAAGCUGACUUCAUCGGGACCAGAUUAAUCUGCAACACUUCGGGUUUUGCUUUUAUGAUUAUCAGCAUUAUGAGCAUGGUUAAACUGGCUCAGUGAAAGCUUCUCCAGCUCCUUAUCCUUCUCGAAAAAAAGAAAAAAUAUAUCAUUACCAAUGACAUCAUGAUUGCAAAAAACUGUGUAGGUUUCACCUCAAUGUGAGAAUCAAACACACCUCCCUUGCCUUGCCUUUAAGAGUCUUAAAGGAAAAAUAAAACAACCUGAAAGAGGUAGCCA
rnacentral:lncRNA from 1 species